rnacentral:rRNA from 1 species
AUGCACGCUGGCGGCGUGCCUCAUACCUGCAAGUCGCGCGAACAGACGAGGAGCUUGCUCCUCUGACGUUAGCGGCGGACGGGUGAGUAACACGUGGAUAACCUACCUAUAAGACUGGGAUAACUUCGGGAAACCGGAGCUAAUACCGGAUAAUAUAUUGAACCGCAUGGUUCAAUAGUGAAAGACGGUUUUGCUGUCACUUAUAGAUGGAUCCGCGCCGCAUUGGCUAGUUGGUAAGGUAACGGCUUACCAAGGCAACGAUGCGUAGCCGACCUGAGAGGGUGAUCGGCCACACUGGAACUGAGACACGGUCCAGACUCCUACGGGAGGCAGCAGUAGGGAAUCUUCCGCAAUGGGCGAAAGCCUGACGGAGCAACGCCGCGUGAGUGAUGAAGGUCUUCGGAUCGUAAAACUCUGUUAUUAGGGAAGAACAAAUGUGUAAGUAACUAUGCACGUCUUGACGGUACCUAAUCAGAAAGCCACGGCUAACUACGUG